rnacentral:rRNA from 1 species
UGCCGAAGAGCCGAGUGACGUGCCAGCGCUUCUAAUUGAGUGCCAGCACGUAGCUGUGUGCUGUCAGUAAGAAGGGAGCCAGCGCCUUUCGAAGCACUUUCUAGUGUGCUGCGCGCUUUAGUUUGAUUGCAGCUAGCGCGCUUUACUAAUAACAUAGAAAGGGCUUUUCUCGCUUGUUUAGUAAAGUCAAGUUUUUGGUCUUAUCUUGCAGGUGACGACGACGUCGAGUUGGCGGCGGAGAAAGACUCGGCAUUCAGGCGAGCCGCCCGGUGGUGUGGUACGUAGUGGGUUUAGUACGCCCCGCCAAAACAAAACGGCUCCGAAACAAACAAAAAGGUGCGUGCCGCACUCACGAGGGACUGCCAGUGAUAUACUGGAGGAAGGUGGGGAUGACGUCAAGUCCGCAUGGCCCUUAUGGGCUGGGCCACACACGUGCUACAAUGGCAAUUACAAUGGGAAGCAAGGCUGUAAGGCGGAGCGAAUCCGGAAAGAUUGCCUCAGUUCGGAUUGUUCUCUGCAACUCGGGAACAUGAAGUUGGAAUCGCUAGUAAUCGCGGAUCAGCAUGUCGCGGUGAAUAUGUACCCGGGCCCUGUACACACCGCCCGUCACACCCUGGGAAUUGGUUUCGCCCGAAGCAUCGGACCAAUGAUCACCCAUGACUUCUGUGUACCACUAGCGCCACAAAGGCUUUUGGUGGUCUUAUUGGCGCAUACCACGGUGGGGUCUUCGACAGGGGUGAAGUCGUAACAAGGUAACCAAUG